GGCGGUUCUCGGGUUACGCACCCCAGAAUUGGACUCCCUCCUCUCUGGUUCCGGGGUGCGUCACUCGAGAACCGCC
rfam:Myotis brandtii contig295980, whole genome shotgun sequence.